CCUCAAAGAGGGGGACAACAGUUGGAAACGACUGCUAAUACCGCAUACGAUCUGACCUCGGCAUCGAGGAUAGAUGAAAGGUGGCCUCUAUUUAUAAGCUAUCACUGAAGGAGGGGAUUGCGUCUGAUUAGCUAGUUGGAGGGGUAACGGCCCACCAAGGCGAUGAUCAGUAGCCGGUCUGAGAGGAUGAACGGCCACAUUGGGACUGAGACACGGCCCAG
rnacentral:rRNA from 1 species